CGCCCCCGGCAAUGGGCAAAGAGACCCUUUGUUGUUGGUGGUGUUGUUCUUACAUCUGUCAGGGGCAGAGCAGAUGCCAGUCCUUUGUUCAUCCUAGCUUGAUCCUGGCUUUGGUGCCCAAAGCUGUUUUAGGCCUUGGACACAUAA